rnacentral:rRNA from 1 species
CAGCCGCCGCGGUAAUACGGAGGGCGCGAGCGUUACCCGGAUUUACUGGGCGUAAAGGGCGCGUAGGCGGCCUGGGGCGUCCCAUGUGAAAGGCCACGGCUCAACCGUGGAGGAGCGUGGGAUACGCUCAGGCUAGAGGGUGGGAGAGGGUGGUGGAAUUCCCGGAGUAGCGGUGAAAUGCGCAGAUACCGGGAGGAACGCCGAUGGCGAAGGCAGCCACCUGGUCCACUUCUGACGCUGAGGCGCGAAAGCGUGGGGAGCAAACCGGAUUAGAUACCCGCGUAGUCCCUGUCUCUUAUAC